rnacentral:rRNA from 1 species
UACAGAGGUCUCAAGCGUUGUUCGGAUUCAUUGGGCGUAAAGGGUGCGUAGGUGGCGCCAUAAGUCAGGUGUGAAAUCUCGGGGCUCAACCCCGAAACUGCAUUUGAUACUGUGGUGCUCGAGUACUGGAGAGGAGAUUGGAAUUUACGGUGUAGCAGUGAAAUGCGUAGAUAUCGUAAGGAAGACCAGUGGCGAAGGCGAAUCUCUGGACAGUUACUGACGCUGAGGAGCGAAAGCGUGGGGAGCGAACAGG